rnacentral:rRNA from 1 species
CGUAAAGAGCUCGUAGGCGGUUUGUCGCGUCUGCUGUGAAAAUCUGAGGCUCAACCUCGGACUUGCAGUGGGUACGGGCAGACUAGAGUGCGGUAGGGGAGAAGGGAAUUCCUGGUGUAGCGGUGGAAUGCGCAGAUAUCAGGAGGAACACCAAUGGCGAAGGCACUUCUCUGGGCCGCUACUGACGCUGAGGAGCGAAAGCGUGGGGAGCGAACAGGAUUAGAUACCCUGGUAGUCCACGCCGUAAACGUUGGGCGCUAGAUGUGGGUCACAUUCCACGUGAUCCGUGUCGCAGCUAACGCAUUAAGCGCCCCGCCUGGGGAGUACGGCCGCAAGGCUAAAACUCAAAGGAAUUGACGGGGGCCCGCACAAGCGGCGGAGCAUGCGGAUUAAUUCGAUGCAACGCGAAGAACCUUACCAAGACUUGACAUAUAGAGGAAAACUGCAGAAAUGUAGUCCCCGCAAGGUCUCUAUACAGGUGGUGCAUGGUUGUCGUCAGCUCGUGUCGUGAGAUGUUGGGUUAAGUCCCGCAACGAGCGCAACCCUCGUCCUAUGUUGCCAGCACGUUAUGGUGGGAACUCAUGGGAGACUGCCGGGGUCAACUCGGAGGAAGGUGGGGAUGACGUCAAAUCAUCAUGCCCCUUAUGUCUUGGGCUUCACGCAUGCUACAAUGGCCGGUACAAAGGGCUGCAAUACCGCAAGGUGGAGCGAAUCCCAAAAAGCCGGUCUCAGCUCGGAUUGAGGUCUGCAACUCGACCUCAUGAAGUCGGAGUCG